UUCCCCGGGGGGAGGGGGGAAGAGGGCGGUGUUCGGCUACGCGAGAGGCUUUCGAGCUUGCUGUCUAUCUAAUGGACGUGCCAGUCGCUGAUCUCUGUAAUAAGCAGUCUUGCUUUCGGUGGUUAUAGGCUUUUCGGGUUGUUUGGCCGUGUUGUGGAGACGGCCCGAAAAUCCUACAACCACCAUCGGAUGCCGGCCCUGAAAGCCUUCGAGAAUACAGUCUUGCUUUCGUUAAAGAGAGUCAGUUAUAAACAAGUAGUAUGCAUUUAAACUUUUGCCGAAGCCUGACAGACUUGUGAGGUAAAUUGGCCAUCUCUGCUCCUUGACCUCAUUGCACCCGUGAGGUCAAGGCGGAGAGUAACUUGCAGUUUGCAGCGUCCGGGGAUUGAGAAGACCCGUGAAUGCAUAGCUGCCCCUUCAGUAAAUCAGGUUGUGAGUGCCUCCCUCCUCUGUACCCUAAAGUAGGAGACCCCACAGAAGUUUCACCUCAAAGCUCAAAAACCUCCUCUCUACAUCUCAUUUUUCCCUGAUGAUUAUCAGUUUGCUGCCUUGACAAAAGAUUUUCAGAAGUUAUCAGAGAUUUUGAAUCUUUGGAUGGCAACAUCAUAAAAAGGAGCAAGGCACCUGGUCCACACACAAUUUCGGAGCACAACUCCAACAAUCCAUUUCCACUGGCUCUGCUGGCUUAAGCUGGAGCUUGGAAAUGUUGGUGUUUUGGACAUCCGUUUCCAGAAUGCUCCAGCCACCAUCAUUAUUGGCCUCGCUGCCUGGAGAAUUCUGUGAGUUGCAGUCAAAAAGAGGCUCUGCACAAUUUGCUUGGGCCAUGAACAUUGCCCCAUGACUGGAUUGCUUCAAGAUCACCUUGGCAUUUUCUGUAGCUGACGGAUGAUGAGUAUCAAAUGAUACAAGAAACCGGCUUUGCAAUUAGAAACUCUGCUUCCUUAACAUCUACCUUGAGGCUUCCACAACUCUACAGGUUGGAAAUGUUGUUUGUUGGUCACUGAGAGAUAAGCAGUGAGCUUAAUUUGCAUGGUAGCUCUGAAGUAAUGCAUUUCUAAAAGGAUUGUUUUUUAUGACCUAACUGCAAAGCUAAUGUAUUCUAUAGUUCGCCAACUGUUUCUGUAUGUGGCUGCCAGGACUGACCACCAAAAUUGUUCAGAAUUCUUCAAAACGAAGAUGAGGAUAGCUCAUCUGUUUUCCCCACUUUUGUUCCUAAGCAAAAUGCUGCCCAAUGGCUAGAUGAUUCCUAUCCAACAUUACUUAGUUACAAAUUAAAAAUGGGCUAAAGAAUAAAAAAUGUUAAAAUAAAACAAACCCCAGACUGUCAAUGUGCUUCCAUGAACAGAGUUGCUUCAUAUUAGUCACGAGAAUGUUAUUUUCCAUUAAAAAAUACUGGCCAGUAUCCAGUGGUGUCGUUGCAUUUGUGCGAAUGAUGUUGACCUUGGAAACAUCUGAUUUGCGAAAGGAAGAGUUGAAAUACAGCUUCUGGUUGUGAAUUUGGUUGUACAGCCAGUAGUAGAACCUGCUGCACAAGCCGUAACAUGCAUGCUGUCACAAGAUGAAAUGUGUUACUGCCUGCAUAACUGGAACAACCGAGUACACUCUACAAGCCCACUGUUUUCCUCUGAUAAUAUUAUGCUGGAUUUCGAUGACUGUUUCCUCUGAAUAAAUACUUCUACUGAAAAACUCUAAUAAGUGUCUUCAGUUAUCCUGUUACUGAGCCAGUGUUUAUAUUAUACUAUGAGGCUACUCAGAAUCCUAAAGUAGUUAUAAACGGACAGACAAUUAUAUUAAAAUUUCAAGUUGAAUUCAUUGCACAUUUAUUUUGCGUAAGUGUGGCAAGCUUGUAGUAUGUGGCAUUCACUAGAGAGAUGAGGAGAAAUUAAGAUAAGUUUGCAUUUCCAGGAAGAAAUUUACCUCUUGGGUUUGCUUGGAAAAUGGCAAGAAAGGAUU